UGAAGGACAUCAACACGUUUCAAUAGCAGC
rnacentral:piRNA from 1 species